rnacentral:rRNA from 1 species
GAUGAACGCUGGCGGCGUGCCUAAUACAUGCAAGUCGAGCGAACGGACGAGAAGCUUGCUUUUCUGAUGUUAGCGGCGGACGGGUGAGUAACACGUGGAUAACCUACCUAUAAGACUGGGAUAACUUCGGGAAACCGGAGCUAAUACCGGAUAAUAUUUUGAACCGCAUGGUUCAAAAGUGAAAGACGGUCUUGCUGUCACUUAUAGAUGGAUCCGCGCUGCAUUAGCUAGUUGGUAAGGUAACGGCUUACCAAGGCAACGAUGCAUAGCCGACCUGAGAGGGUGAGCGGGCAAAGUGGAAGUGGAAAACGGUACGGACGACGACGGGAGGCAGAGGUAGGGAGUGGUCGAAAAGGAGCUAAGGCCUAAAGAGACAAGAACACGGAGGUGAUAAAGGUCUUCGGGUCGUAAGACUCGGUGAAUGGGAACAAACAGAGGUGUAAGGAAAAGUGCACAACGUGAAGGGACCUAAACAGAAAGAGACGGCUAACUACGUG